rnacentral:piRNA from 1 species
UAUUGCCCUAAAUGAAAAGCCCAUGAUUUU